rnacentral:rRNA from 1 species
CUACGGGUCGCAGCAGUGGGGAAUAUUGCACAAUGGGCGAAAGCCUGAUGCAGCAACGCCGCGUGAGGGACGACGGCCUUCGGGUUGUAAACCUCUUUUAGCAGGGAAGAAGCGAAAGUGACGGUACCUGCAGAAAAAGCACCGGCUAACUACGUGCCAGCAGCCGCGGUAAUACGUAGGGUGCAAGCGUUGUCCGGAAUUAUUGGGCGUAAAGAGCUCGUAGGCAGUUUGUCGCGUCUGCUGUGAAAAUCCGAGGCUCAACCUCGGACCUGCAGUGGGUACGGGCAAACUAGAGUGCGGUAGGGGAGAUUGGAAUUCCUGGUGUAGCGGUGGAAUGCGCAGAUAUCAGGAGGAACACCAAUGGCGAAGGCAGAUCUCUGGGCCGUAACUGACGCUGAGGAGCGAAAGCGUGGGGAGCGAACAGGAUUAGAUACCCCUGUAGUC